UACGUAGGUAGCAAGCGUUGUCCGGAUUUACUGGGCGUAAAGAGCGCGCAGGCGGUCGUUCAAGUCGCGUGUGAAAGCCCCCGGCUCAACUGGGGAGGGUCACGCGAUACUGAUCGACUCGAAGGCAGGAGAGGGAAGUGGAAUUCCCGGUGUAGUGGUGAAAUGCGUAGAUAUCGGGAGGAACACCAGUGGCGAAGGCGACUUCCUGGCCUGUUCUUGACGCUGAGGCGCGAAAGCUAGGGGAGCAACGGGG
rnacentral:rRNA from 1 species